UACAGAGGGUGCGAGCGUUGUUCGGAAUUAUUGGGCGUAAAGGGCGCGUAGGCGGUGCGGCAAGUCACCUGUGAAACCUCUGGGCUUAACCCAGAGCCUGCAGGCGAAACUGCCGUGCUGGAGUGUGGGAGAGGUGCGUGGAAUUCCCGGUGUAGCGGUGAAAUGCGUAGAUAUCAGGAUGAACACCUGCGGUGUAGACGGCUUACUGGACGGUAACUGACGCUGAGGCACGAAAGCGUGGGUAGCAAACAGG
rnacentral:rRNA from 1 species